UUUUGGUUAAUAUGUUCUCUGUCACAGUGUUGUGCAAGGGUUAUUAAUUAGUUUAAUAGAUGUUAUCAAAGCUCACCGAUAGACUUGACAGAGACCAGACAAAGGUUAGGACAAUGUCAGUUAGGUGUUUGUCUUGUAGAGAGACUGAUAUGUGGGUCGGGACAGACAUUAGCAAUGUUAGUUUAGGCGUAGGCUAGAUACUCAGCCUAUAUAGAGUAGAGUUUGGGGCAAUCGGGACACAACGCCAUGUAGUUUUAGCAGGGGCGUGUGUCGUAUGCUAGGCGUUUUCUGGUGAACGACACAUACAGACAUUGGGAGCAAGUCGCCGAGGUUGGCUCGCGAUCUUGGCUCCAAGAUGUGUGAGUUGUUUGCCAGAGACAACAUGUAGGAACUUUAAUUCUUAAGGACCAGGAGUGACAGUCUUGGCGACUGUCUGAGUCUUAGUGACAGUCUGACGGUCAGAGACGGUAGAUCUAUAUAUGGUGUAUCCUUGCCUGCUACGCAAGGGGAUAUCACUCUAGUAUUGAGCGGACUGUGACGUUGGGUUCCAGGAUCCGUGCAGAGACUAGAGAGAGAGAGAGAGAGAGAGAGACAAGAGAAAUGGAGAGUUCAUCGUGACCUACAGCCAAGUAUCAAUAUCUAUGUGAUUAUUAAAUUUUAAUUCUAGAAUCACAUGAGUAUUAUAUGUAAUUAUAGUUGUUAAUUAAAUAUUUAUUUUUCUUAUGAAAAUUUGUGUCCAGAGAUCAUGAUUUAUAUCAUUAUUGAAUAUUGUGGUCUUUAAUCCAUAGUAUUUUGUGAUGCGUGUGUUGUAUCAGUUAAAUUACAUCAGUAAGAAUCAUCCUAGACGUAUAGACAUCAAGAGCUGAUAUCAAGAUCUUGACAAUUGGGGCCUCGUCUAAAGUUUUAUUUUAAUUUUCUACGACACUUUAAUGAUGUCUGGGGGCUAAUGAAUAACUGGGACCUGUUAUUUUUCUUUAAGUGAAAAUACUUUAGUUAUACUUGAUAUAGUAUUGACAUUUAUUUUUUUAUCCAUCAUAGUAUUGAGAAAAUUGUAUUUUGCUUGUAAAGGUUUGGACGAAUAUUCACUGCUUAGAAUUAGCAUUAAGUAGAGUUUCUGUUUACACUUGUUGUAAUACCAUGAUUGUAUUUUUCAAGAUUUUUUUUUUUUCUACAUUUUGUUUUCUGCCUAGCAUUUGUUGUGGUACAGGUGAAUUGGCUGUUUGGCAGUGGACGUCACACAUGAUCUAUUUUUAGACUGUCACUCCUGAUUCCUGCGCCCAUUGUCUUGGGGCCUUCGUGUAUCCACGGUUUGAGGGUAACGUAGUUAUCUUCAGCGCGUGUUUUUUCAAUGUUUAGGUAAGCUGUAUGAUGUAGUGAGAUAGGUGUAAGUUUUCUUGUUUUUAUUUUUGAUAGGGAGCUUAGGGAUUUCAUAGAGGUGGGAUAGAAAGAGGUGGACAUUAUUUUUAAAGCAUAAUUACUGCACUGGGCAGUGUUACAUUUAUACUGUGCUUAUACUGUGUUUUUGCAGGCAGACAGGGGCGAGUUAUUGUUUGGAGAAGGUAGAAGGGGGUUGGACCUGUAUGUUCGCGUUGGGCAAACGUAUAGUGUCGUUGUCCUCAGUUAUUUUUUUUUCUUGCUUUUUAGCUUGUUAAGUUUUGUAGAUGGUUAGCCAGGUGAGCAGUACUGUUGGCCAGUUGUUUUUUUUGUUGCCAUUUUGGUGUUUUGAUAGGCGGGAUAGGGGGUUUGAGAGACAGACAAUGGCGUUGGGUCAUGUAGUGUCUACCCCACCCAUGUAUUUUAGUAAUGCCUAUCAAACCUUGUAGUUGUUAAUGGAAGUUUUGGAAUUUCGUUUCCAGUGCCAUGCCAGAGGGCAGGGACAUUUGUUUUUCUUCUCCCUCUUAGUUGAGGUCGAGCGUUGAUUUUUUUUACCUGGUGUGUCCUUGUUGUACGGAUUCAUGGUAGUUAAGUCACAGGGUGACGUAAUGAUUUUUUGUUGUUGCGGCAAGAGUUGUUUUUUUUUACAGUGGGUCUCGAGUUUUGUUGGGCCUGGUUUCAGUUUUUGUAUGCCGUCUAUUUUUUUAUUUUUUUUUGCUUGAACGUGUUGAUGAUAGUUGGCUAUAGCUCUAUAUAGAAUAUCCGACAUUAGGUAUGUCGUGGAUUUUUUUAUUUCAGUGAGAUGUUGCUGUGUUGACAGAUCAUCAGUUUAUCAAGGUCAUUUGAUUAGUUUGUUCAACGUUUGAUAUUACUAAGAUGUUAAAGUUUAGGCCUGACGAGCUUGAAUUGGUAUUGAUUUUUUUUUUACAUAGAUUUUUUUUUGUUGGCAAAUAUUUGAGCUUUAGCUGAGUUAUGGCGAUUAAUGUACACGCUAUCUAGGUAGUUCAGAAAAUUGACGUUUUAGGACAUUUGUAUCCAAGGUGGAACAUGAGUUGUUUGUUGAAGAGUCAAGUGAGUCCUUCUAAUGGAGGAGAGUGCAUAACAGACACUGAAGUAAAUGACAAAGCGUUGUUUUUUUUUUUAUACGACAUGUGUGAUGGACACUGGCAGUGAGUACAGCCAUUUUACAAUUUCUAUUCUAUUAUAGGGAUGCUAAUGAAUUUUGUAUUUUCAUUUUAUUAUCAUUAUGUUUUAGUUACUUAUAUAUUGAAUUAUACUGUUCUAUAUUUAGGUCGAAAAUAAGAUGCAAGUGGAGCUUGCAAUCCGAAAAACUUUGUCCAUGAUUAGAUGAUAUCAUUUUUCUUACUUUUAGUUUUAUAUUAAUUCGUGUUUUACUUGCACUCGAGAUUUGAUUGGCAGAAUUGCAUGUUCACUUUGAUGUAUAUUUUUUUUGUAAAUCUACUUGCAGAGAUUCAUGACUAUAUUAUUUGAUGUUUAAAGUUGAAGUUUGUGACAGUUGCAGUGCAGAUAUAUGAGAUGACGAUGUUCACAUGUUUGUUUUGAUUUUUUUUUCUUCUUAAUUACAACCACUUUGUUUAUGAUUUUAUAAUCUUAUUCCAGUGUGCUACAGUUGCCUAAAGACUUUGGUUAGCAAUGCUGCAUGUGUUCUAUAACAUUAUUUUUAUGUCUCAAUAUAGUUCCAGAAUUUGUUCUCCAAAUGUGAGAUGGUAGAGGCAGUUUAGUGAGUCGUAUUAGUGUGACUUUGGUUGCAAAUAUUGCAACAAAAGUCAAAGGAGAAGGGGAAGAUGUCACAGUGUUGUGCAAGGGUUAUUAAUUAGUUUAAUAGAUGUUAUCAAAGCUCACCGAUAGACUUGACAGAGACCAGACAAAGGUUAGGACAAUGUCAGUUAGGUGUUUGUCUUGUAGAGAGACUGAUAUGUGGGUCGGGACAGACAUUAGCAAUGUUAGUUUAGGCGUAGGCUAGAUACUCAGCCUAUAUAGAGUAGAGUUUGGGGCAAUCGGGACACAACGCCAUGUAGUUUUAGCAGGGGCGUGUGUCGUAUGCUAGGCGUUUUCUGGUGAACGACACAUACAGACAUUGGGAGCAAGUCGCCGAGGUUGGCUCGCGAUCUUGGCUCCAAGAUGUGUGAGUUGUUUGCCAGAGACAACAUGUAGGAACUUUAAUUCUUAAGGACCAGGGUAAGAAGAAAUGUUUUUAUUAGUUAUAUAUCUAGUAUUAGAUGUUAAUUGAUUAUGAAUAAAUAGAAUGGCGCUUUAGCUAGUUGUUAGCGAUAUUUUUGAUUAUUUGUCUAUUUAGAGUGACAGUCUUGGCGACUGUCUGAGUCUUAGUGACAGUCUGACGGUCAGAGACGGUAGAUCUAUAUAUGGUGUAUCCUUGCCUGCUACGCAAGGGGAUAUCACUCUAGUAUUGAGCGGACUGUGACGUUGGGUUCCAGGAUCCGUGCAGAGACUAGAGAGAGAGAGAGAGAGAGAGAGACAAGAGAAAUGGAGAGUUCAUCGUGACCUACAGCCAAGUAUCAAUAUCUAUGUGAUUAUUAAAUUUUAAUUCUAGAAUCACAUGAGUAUUAUAUGUAAUUAUAGUUGUUAAUUAAAUAUUUAUUUUUCUUAUGAAAA